rnacentral:tRNA from 2 species
UGCGAUGUAGAGAAACGGUUAUCUCGCAGGGUUCAUAUCCCUGAAACAGCAUGGGUUCAACUCCCGCCAUCGCAUCCA